GCAGCGGGAGUUCAGUCGGUUAGAAUACCGGCCUGUCACGCCGGGGGUAGCGGGUUCGAGGCCCGUCCGCUGCGCCA
rnacentral:tRNA from 1 species